UUAAGGCAACGCCUGCCCAGUGAGAAUUUCUUCAACGGCCGCGGUACCCUAACCGUGCAAAGGUAGCGUAAUCACUUGUCUAUUAAUUGUAGACCCGUAUGAAAGGCCGCAUGAGAGUCAAACUGUCUCUUGUAAUCAAUCAAUUAAACUGAUCUCCCAGUACAAAAGCUGGAAUAUACAUAUAAGACCAGAAGACCCUGUGAAGCUUAAACUAACCUACUAAACCCACUAGUAGCUACUUUCAGUUGGGGCGACUUUGGAACAAAAUAGAACUUCCAAAUACCAUGAGCAAUUACUCAUACCUAGGCCAACAAGCCACCAUAAGACCCAGUAAUACUGACAAUUGAACCAAGUUACUCCAGGGAUAACAGCGCCAUCUUCUUUAAGAGCCCAUAUCAAAAAGAAGGUUUACGACCUCGAUGUUGGAUCAGGACACCCAAAUGGUGCAGCAGCUAUUAAA
rnacentral:rRNA from 1 species